rnacentral:rRNA from 1 species
AAACGGACACACGUAGUCGGGAUGAAUAUUCUAAGGCGCUUGAGUGAUUCACGGUUAAGGAACUAGGCAAACUGACCCUGUAACUUCGGGAUAAAGGGUCCCUACCCUUUUAUGGGAGGGCGCAGAGAAUCGGUCCAGGCAACUGUUUAACAAAAACACAGGGCUGUGCCAAAUCGAAAGAUCCAGUAUACAGCCUGACACCUGCCCGGUGCUGGAAGGUUAAGAGGAGAUGUCAUCGAUAAGAGAAGCGUUGAAUUGAAGCCCCAGUAAACGGCGGCCGUAACUAUAACGGUCCUAAGGUAGCGAAAUUCCUUGUCGGGUAAGUUCCGACCUGCACGAAUGGUGUAAUGAUCUGGACGCUGUCUCAACCGUGAGCUCAGUGAAAUUGUAGUAUCGGUGAAGAUGCCGAUUACCCGCGAUGGGACGAAAAGACCCCGUGAACCUUUACUAUAGCUUAUCAUUGAAUCUGGGCACGUGAUGUGUAGGAUAGGUCGGAGGCUUUGAAG